UACAGAGGGUGCAAACGUUGCUCGGAAUUAUUGGGCGUAAAGCGCAUGUAGGCGGCAUAGUAAGUUCACUGUGAAAGCCCUUGGCUCAACCAAGGAAGUGCAGUGAGAACUGCUAAGCUCGAGUUCUGAAGAGGGUCGCGGAAUGGCCAGUGUAGAGGUGAAAUUCGUAGAUAUUGGCUAGAACACCAGUGGCGAAGGCGGCGACCUGGGAAGAUACUGACGCUGAGAUGCGAAAGCGUGGGGAGCAAACAGG
rnacentral:rRNA from 1 species